AAAGUAAACAUCAAAGGUAUCAUCAUGAAGACUGCCUGCCUAGUUGCUCUCCUGAUUACUUGCGUUGUCAUGGUUACCAUGCCAGAAACUGAAGCCCAACGUUACCUUCCACCCGACCGUUGCCAUUGCAGUGGUGGACCGUGUCGUUACGGAACCAGUGACUCCAGUCCGUGUCCAUACAACUCAUAUCUGAGGAAUUGCUGUAGAAAUUAUUGAGGACCAUUUAAGGACACCAGACCACAUUGACAUUCAUAUGUUCUGGUUAGGUUGAAUCAAUAAAACAGCGAAAUUGUU